rnacentral:tRNA from 1 species
GGGGGCGUAGCUCAGAGGGAGAGCGCUAGAAUCGCACUCUAGAGGUCGUGGGUUCGAAUCCCAUCGCCUCCA